rnacentral:rRNA from 1 species
UACAGAGGGGGCAAGCGUUGUUCGGAAUUACUGGGCGUAAAGAGCUCGUAGGUGGUUUGUCGCGUUGUUCGUGAAAACUCACAGCUCAACUGUGGGCGUGCGGGCGAUACGGGCAGACUUGAGUACUGCAGGGGAGACUGGAAUUCCUGGUGUAGCGGUGGAAUGCGCAGAUAUCAGGAGGAACACCGGUGGCGAAGGCGGGUCUCUGGGCAGUAACUGACGCUGAGGAGCGAAAGCGUGGGGAGCGAACAGG